GCGGCCUAUUAGCUCAGUUGGUUAGAGCGUCGUGCUAAUAACGCGAAGGUCGCAGGUUCGAAACCUGCAUGGGCCAAACAAGUUUUUUAACAUUUUUUUUUUAAAAGAUUCCCGUUCUAUGUCCACCCACCUACCAAAUUUCUGAAUUCCAUUUGUUUCCUCUUGGAUAGAGGUUUUUAAAAAACUCCAUUUGUGUGCCCCCAAUUUCAAUCCUCCACCAUCGUCAUCCAUGGAGGGUUCCAACCCCCUCAUCCUCAACGCUGGUUGAUCGCCCUGCCUUCUUCUCGGAUCCAUUGGUGCUGGUUUCAAAAUAUCUGAGAAUCAAACAAAAGAAAGUUGGGGUCGUGAGUAGAUGUUGGUGUCCAAUGAUAUUUUCCUUUUAAACCCAAAAGAUGAAGCUUUUGCAAAAGGAAAAUGUUAGGUUGUGGUACCAAGAAGCUCCAUAUUGUGAUUGGAUUUUGUAGAAAGAAGCAAAAUUGAUAUCUAUUUGGUGAAUCUACGUAUUCAUCAAUCUGCAAUGUUGGGCUUUGAAGGAAGAGGAGUUCUUUAGUUUUACGUUCCCCUCUUUCAUGCACAUGAAUUAUAGGAAUACGUAUGGGACUUAACAUUAGUAAUGAGAUUAAUGGACUUCUUUUACUUUUGUCCCUUUAACAAAAAUUUUAGGUUUUACCUAUUUAAUUGUCGCUCGUAAUGUAAGCGUAUGUGGCAUCGCAUAGGAUAAGUUUGUAUUUUGGUGAAUUCAAUAAACAAGUGUUUGCAUCUAAGAAUAUAAACUUUGACCCGUGUUU